rnacentral:misc_RNA from 1 species
UGAAAUUUUUGGAUUCAUGUCACUGUCAAGUAAAAUGUUGCUGGUUUUUAGGUCUCUAUGAAUGAUUCUGAGUCGAGAGUCCUGAUGAAGAUAAAUAAGUCCUCGAGCAAUUCCAUCAAUAAUUUGUAUGCACUUACACCAAUCUAGUAAUUUCCUUCUCGUUUGAUCUAAUCAAUAUUCUAUACGUGUUAGAAUAAUUAGUAGAUG